rnacentral:rRNA from 1 species
GUAAUGUAUGGGGAUCUGCCUGAUGGCGGGGGAUAACUACUGGAAACGGUAGCUAAUACCGCAUAAUGUCUGCGGACCAAAGCGGGGGACCUCCGGGCCUCGCGCCAUCAGAUGAACCCAUAUGGGAUUAGCUAGUAGGUGGGGUAACGGCUCACCUAGGCGACGAUCCCUAGCUGGUCUGAGAGGAUGACCAGCCACACUGGAACUGAGACACGGUCCAG